UCAGACUUAGACUAGAAAUACAUCACCAGCAUUCCUGAGUCUCCAGCCUGCCAACUGAGAUCUUGGGACUUCUUAGCCUCCAUAAUCACGGCGGGGAGGUGAAGACAAGCAAGGAUGAGGGAAGUGUCAAGCCAGGCCAGCAUUUGUUCGGCAUCAACUGUAGGCCCCACAGGGAGUGCAGUGGUGAAUUAAACACCCUUGGGGCUUCCCCCGU